UACAGAGGUCUCAAGCGUUGUUCGGAUUCAUUGGGCGUAAAGGGUGCGUAGGUGGCGCCGUAAGUCGGGUGUGAAAUUUCGGAGCUUAACUCCGAAACUGCAUUCGAUACUGCGGUGCUUGAGGACUGGAGAGGAGACUGGAAUUCAUGGUGUAGCAGUGAAAUGCGUAGAGAUCAUGAGGAAGACCAGUGGCGAAGGCGGGUCUGCUGGACAGUUCCUGACACUGAGCAGCACGAAGGCCAGGGGAGCAAACGG
rnacentral:rRNA from 1 species